CUCUGGGCUGCCCACCCACCAUUUCUUCUUUGUGUCUCUCACUCGGGUUUUUCCACAGUUGGGAGAUGACAGUGUAAGGGAGAGGUGGAUGGGAUUUCCUCGUCUCUCUGGUUCUUGACCUAUCUGGAAGAACAAGGGAAGUUCUGAUGCAGUUAGAGCAGGCGGCUCAGGAGGGCAGGGAAAAACACAGAAUUCUCCUGGCUGAGGUCUUCAGGAGGAGCUGAGCAGCUGAGUGACCUUGUGGCUGCUGGAAGAGGAUGCCUGAAGGGCUCAAGAGAAGGAGCAAGAGGGGCCAGGUGGAUCUGGACAACCAGAGCAAUUGUGUUGGCCACGUGGAAGAAGACAGUGGAAAGGAAAAGAUUAAAGAGGUAAGAAAAGAGGAGAUGACUGAUGCCGCAGGGUCUGGGAGGAGAUGAGAAGGUGGGAGGGAAAGGCCUGGGACAAAGGACCACUUUGUAACAAG
ensembl:lncRNA